rnacentral:rRNA from 1 species
AAAACAUGUCUCUCUGUUAUAUAGAGAUAGGGAGUCUGGCCUGCCCAGUGACUGGAAAGUUAAACGGCUGCAGUAUACUGACUGUACAAAGGUAGCGUAAUCAUUUGCCUUUUAAUUGGGGGCUCGUAUGAAUGGCUUGACGAGGGCACAGCUGUCUUUUUGUGAAAUAUAUAGAAAUUAUUUUUUAGGUGAAAACUCCUAAGUCUUAUUGGGGGACGAGAAGACCCUAUUGAGCUUUAGUAAUAUUUUUAAUAAUGUCUUGUAAAGUUUAUAUUGAUAGUUGAAAAUGAUUCUUUAGUUGGGGCAACUGAGGGGCAGAAAAAACCCCCUUUAUGUGGGUAUGGUUGAUGAACAUUAGAUCCAGUGUAUUAUACUGAUCUAAAGAAGAAGUUACCAUAGGGAUAACAGCGUAAUUUUUUUGGAGAGCUCUUAUUGAUAAAAAAGUUUGCGACCUCGAUGUUGGACUAAGGUACCCAAAAGGUGUAGCAGCUUUUAGUGGUUAGUCUGUUCGACUAUUAAAACCUUACGUGAUCUGAGUUC